rfam:Clostridium tyrobutyricum DIVETGP, WGS project CBXI01000000 data, contig: NODE_9
GAGUUAAAGAAGAAACCAGCCGUUUCUCACCUUACAGCGCGUAAUGCUGCUGGUAUGGUUAUCAAGGAUUUGAAUAUAAAUCCUUUAUUAUACUUUUACUAUUGGAGUUUAAGAGACGGCGUGUGCCGUCUCUUUUUUAUAUGU